UACGGAGGGUCCAAGCGUUAUCCGGAAUCAUUGGGUUUAAAGGGUCCGUAGGCGGUUUUGUAAGUCAGUGGUGAAGGCCCGUCGCUCAACGGCGGAACGGCCAUUGAUACUGCAAGACUUGAAUUAUUGGGAAGCAACUAGAAUAUGUAGUGUAGCGGUGAAAUGCUUAGAGAUUACAUGGAAUACCAAUUGCGAAGGCAGGUUGCUACCAAUACAUUGACGCUGAUGGACGAAAGCGUGGGGAGCGAACAGG
rnacentral:rRNA from 1 species